CCCAGACUCCUACGGGAGGCAGCAGUGGGGAAUAUUGCACAAUGGGGGAAACCCUGAUGCAGCGACGCCGCGUGAGUGAAGAAGUCUUUCGGUAUGUAAAGCUCUCUCAGCAGGGAAGAAAAUGACGGUACCUGACUAAGAAGCCCCGGCUAACUACGUGCCAGCAGCCGCGGUAAUACGUAGGGGGCAAGCGUUAUCCGGAUUUACUGGGUGUAAAGGGAGCGUAGGCGGUUUAGCAAGUCAGAAGUGAAAGCCCGGGGCUCAACUCCGGGACUGCUUUUGAAACUGUUGAACUAGAUUGCAGGAGAGGUAAGUGGAAUUCCUAGUGUAGCGGUGAAAUGCGUAGAUAUUAGGAGGAACACCAGUGGCGAAGGCGGCUUACUGGACUGUAAAUGACGCUGAGGCUCGAAAGCGUGGGGAGCAAACAGGAUUAGAUACCCCCGUAACA
rnacentral:rRNA from 1 species